GGCGGGGACCCUGCGGGGAGGUGAUUAAAAGCGGAGCUGAGCCGCAGGGGGCCGCUGCGGGCAGGGUCUUCCCCGGGCCUUUCUGCCCCGCCCCAGUCCGGCCUCGGCGGGGGGUUCGAGCCACUGCUGGGCAGGCCUGAGCGUCCGGGGCAUGAGCGGGAUCUGGGGGACCGGAGGGCCUCGGUGCCAGGCGGCGCUCGCGGUCCUGGCCUCUCUGUGCCGGGCCCGGCCGCCCCCUCUCGGGCUGGACGUGGAGACUUGUCGGAGCUUCGAGCUGCAACCCCCGGAGCAGAGUCCGAGCCCGGCCGACUCAGGCACCUCUGUCAGCCUCCUCGCAGUGGUAGUUAUUGUGUGUGGCGUGGCCCUGGUGGCAGUUUUUCUCUUUCUCUUUUGGAAGCUGUGCUGGAUGCCCUGGAGGAACAAGGAGGCCUCCAGCCCUUCUUCUGCUAAUCCUGCUUCAGAGACCCUCCAAGGCCCCGGCUCCAGAGGCAACAUGGCAGAUAAGCUGAAGGACCCCAGUGCCCUGGGCUUCCUGGAGGCGGCUGUGAAGAUCAGCCACACUUCCCCAGAUAUACCAGCCGAGGUGCAGAUGUCGGUCAAGGAGCACAUCAUGCGUCACACGAGGCUGCAGCGACAGACCACAGAGCCAGCAUCCUCCACCAGGCACACAUCCUUCAAGCGUCACCUGCCACGGCAGAUGCACGUCUCCAGCGUAGACUACGGCAAUGAGCUGCCACCGGCAGCGGAGCAGCCCACCAGCAUUGGCCGCAUCAAGCCUGAGCUCUACAAGCAGAAGUCCGUGGAUGGGGACGAUGCCAAGUCUGAGGCCGCCAAGAGCUGUGGGAAGAUCAACUUCAGCCUCCGCUAUGACUACGAGAGCGAGACCCUGAUUGUGCGCAUCCUGAAGGCCUUUGACCUCCCUGCCAAGGACUUUUGUGGAAGUUCUGACCCUUAUGUCAAGAUCUACCUCCUGCCUGACCGCAAGUGCAAGCUGCAGACCCGGGUGCACCGGAAGACCCUGAACCCCACCUUUGACGAGAACUUCCACUUCCCCGUGCCCUAUGAGGAGCUGGCUGACCGCAAGCUGCAUCUCAGUGUCUUUGACUUUGACCGCUUCUCUCGCCAUGACAUGAUCGGGGAGGUCAUCCUGGACAAUCUCUUUGAGGCCUCUGACCUGUCCCGGGAGACCUCCAUCUGGAAGGACAUCCAGUAUGCCACCAGUGAAAGUGUGGACUUGGGAGAGAUCAUGUUCUCCCUCUGCUACCUGCCCACAGCGGGCAGGCUGACCCUCACAGUGAUCAAGUGUCGCAAUCUCAAGGCGAUGGACAUCACAGGCUACUCAGAUCCCUAUGUUAAAGUCUCCCUGCUGUGUGAUGGGCGGAGGCUGAAAAAGAAGAAAACAACCAUCAAAAAGAACACCCUGAACCCCGUCUACAACGAGGCCAUCAUCUUUGACAUCCCUCCAGAAAACAUGGACCAAGUGAGCCUGCUCAUCUCCGUGAUGGACUACGAUCGAGUCGGCCACAAUGAGAUCAUAGGAGUCUGUAGAGUGGGGAUCAAUGCCGAAGGCCUUGGCAGGGACCACUGGAACGAGAUGCUGGCAUAUCCACGGAAGCCCAUUGCACACUGGCACUCCUUGGUGGAGGUAAAGAAAUCCUUCAAAGAGGGGACCCCUCGGUUGUGAUUUCAUUCACGUGGAUGCUGCGAGCGGAGAGACAGCCACAGGAGUUAGGAUGGCAGGGCCGAGCUGCCAGCUUCGACAGUGAGAGCUCAUGCCCAUCUCCGAAACCACCUCCGACACCAUGAGCUGCACGGCGGAGCCGACGGGACUCAGCAAUGUUCUUUUCACACUUGUUUCAGUCGUCUAAAUGCAGUGUUUGUGCAGUCGUGGUGAUGGCAGCCGCAGCGGCCACUGCCUGCCAGCCCGUGGUCUUCACUGCUCUCGCGCAGGGCAAGGCCCCGACACUUUUCAUGUGUGAUCAGAUCUGUCUUAGUCUUUUCUGUCUCCCAAGGUGAUGUUUUUGUGGUUUUUCACUUUGUUUGGGUCUGCUGUCGAGAAAGAAAGAAAAACGCAACGAUUAGAGAUACAAAACAAAGAGUUGGAGGGCCCAGAAGUUGGUUCUGGGAAAUACAGUGUAAAAUAGCCGUCUUGGGGGGAAAGACAGACUGACUCUCUGAAAUUUUGUGCCUCCACCUAAUGUUCACUCCUGGAGAAGGCAGACUAGGAUGGGGCCAUGGCUAUACCGUAGUGUCCUGCAAGAAUGGAACCUGUCAAUCAAGAGCCUUUCUGAAGUGAAUUGUUCUUCUUGGAAGCUCUUCACUGCUGGAACACAAGCCAAGAUGUGGCCCUCUUGUCCCAUGUUGAAAUCAUGAGACCUCUGCCAUGUUUGUGACUCUGUCGGGGGAUCCCUGCUCCCCUCUGUUGGCUUUCCCCAACUGGAAACAUUUUGAUUCCUUGUGGGAACUUAGUCAUUUUCGUUAGGAGCAAUCUCGCUGAAACCACCCAUGCCAUAUGCUUUCCGACACACCACAGUUAAUGAUCACAUUUGUUUGAAAACAGGAUCUUGGUUUUCAAAAAUAACCUUCAUUGUAAAGAAAGGAGGCGCAUAUGUUCCAGAAUGAUUCCUGUGUUAUACAUAGCUUUAUAAUUCCACGAAGUACCAAGCCGCUGUUUAAAAUGCCUAAACAGAGCAAAGAAAAAUCUAGAUUACACGUUCUUUUCUGAAAUGGGGCAUUUUGAAAUCCAAACCAUAGUUUUGAGUCUGUCUGUCUACAAAGAGCCUUCUCUUAGUUGAAACCCAGACAUCCAGAGACUAGUUCAGCCCCAUAGACUCUGGGACAAUAAUUCACUUUAAACUUUAGUUCUAUAAAUGAAUAAGUAUUCUGUGUUGUUUGUUUCAGUCAUAGUGAGAAGACUUUGCUUGUUCGUUUGUUUUUCCAUUAGAACUCUACCUUAGGCCAAAUUCAGUUUAGGAAACAAACAUGAAUGACUGUAUUUAUAACAGCACAUUUCUACAGAGUGCUAUGGCCUUCCUCCCAGGCCCUGGAAGCAGGUUGGUCUGCUCAGCCUAAAGUCUGAACAGCACUCUGAGCACACGAAGGCUAGUUUCUACUCCAACUUGUGGCUACACAGCACCGAUUUUCGGCGCCGUAGGACUUGCAGGAAAAGGACUUGGAAAAGUCCUUCGUUCAACAACAGAAGGUCAAGAACACAAAGGCUAUCCUCAUACCUCGUGUCUUACUCUCUACAGAUGCCCCAUGCUGUAGGUGUAGCUACUUAAUAAAGUGACCCUCUGAUUUUUAAGUCAAGCCACCAGGUUUCUCUGCUGACCUAACUUGAUGUAGCGUCUGCUUGCCAGAAGAAUGACCAGAUCGGACAUGAGCCAACAGGCCCACUUUUCUAGUAAAAUGUAGAUGAAUCGACAUUCCACCAAGUAUGAGCCUUAGGCUAGGAGCUGGUUUGUACAGAUGGAUUUUCUCCCCAAAUCUCUUAGAAUUGAUAAGUCUUUCUAGCCAGGGAGUCCCCUGCCUGGACAUACUCUUGAGAGGGAGAAAACCCACAAGGUCAUGACAAGAGUAUCAGCAAGCAAGUAACUUCCUUGUGUUUCUUGACCCUAGAUGGACCCCGCUAAGGUGACUGCCGCAGCCACACAGCAGUGCAAGUAGGAAGGGGACAGUUGAGUUUUCUGGGUCGUAAGGAGCACAGAAGUUAGUGUGAGUCCCCCAUCCUCCCAUAAGAGGGUUCCAAGCGCAUGCCCAGCUGCCACCCCUAAACCCUUAGGCAGGUGGGAUGCUCUACGAUAAGGUUUUAGAGAGGAGGGUGUGGUCUGUGUGAAUCACAGGAUGGCAACGGCCCGUCCGAGAGACCCUUCCAUGUCCCAGCUACACAUCCCCAGAAGUGAACAUCCCAACAGUUCCAGGAAACCGUGCCCUGGUUACGGCCAGCCCUCUCAUCACCCGAGUCGACCACUUUGACUCCAUCAGGCAUGGAAGCCCACUCCAGAAAGGUUUCCAGUUCCUGGGUUCCUCCCCCCCCCCAAGUCCCCACCAAGGGCAGCCAGACCAUUCCUUCUAGUCCUGAAGCAUGAACGAUAGGAACAGGCUUCUCUUAUGAGCCAGGACCCUUCCCUCACGGGUGAGAAUUAACAGAAAUCUGUUGCAGAAUAAACUGAAAUUCAACGUUGACUCUCUUGUUGGCGUCCCCUGGUACGAGAAACCCUCUGUGGGCGGUGGGCUUUGCUGACGCCGUGAUAACCAGGGCCAUUUGCACAGAGAGGUUUGCUGAAGACACCAGGUUCUCCUCUCCUUUAUUUAGCAGUGUUUCUUGGCUGAGAGAUGUUCCCCCUCCUCUUUGCACUUACCCGGGAUGUUAAUUA